AGAGUUUGAUCCUGGCUCAGAUUGAACGCUGGCGGCAUGCCUUACACAUGCAAGUCGAGCGGCAGCGCGGGGGGUAACUCCUGGCGGCGAGUGGCGAACGGGUGAGUAAUAUAUCGGAACGUGCCCUGGAGUGGGGGAUAACUAGUCGAAAGAUUAGCUAAUACCGCAUACGAUCUACGGAUGAAAGUGGGGGAUUCGCAAGAACCUCAUGCUCGUGGAGCGGCCGAUAUCUGAUUAGCUAGUUGGUAGGGUAAAAGCCUACCAAGGCGACGAUCAGUAGCUGGUUUGAGAGAACGACCAGCCACACUGGGACUGAGACACGGCCCAGACUCCUACGGGAGGCAGCAGUGGGGAAUUUUGGACAAUGGGGGC
rnacentral:rRNA from 1 species